AGCAACAAAAGCAGCAAAAGCAACGGCUGAAGCAGAAGCAGUGGAGUGUUUAUAUGGAAAAUAUAAAUCAAAUAAUGGCGCAGACAUUAACAAACAACGCAUGUAGUGUGGCAGACAUCGAGAUGAUUAUCAGGUUUACAAAGGUUUCAAUGUGUAUUUAAUUGCAUUCACGUUAAUUUCCCCUCAAAGGGCGGACGGUUCGAAGCGGGCUGCUAGGCCCAUAAAAUACAAUUAUUUAUAAACAGGGAAACUAUGUUAAAAGCGAUUUAAAGACACUCGUAACUUUUAUUGGAAAAGUGUCUCUAGGAAAACCAUUAAGAACAAUGUAUAUAAUUAUGGUUCUUAAGCCAGUCAUGGGAUUCAAGAGGACACUUAGGCCGAUCAAAUAAUUGAAUAUACAUUUUCUCCAUAAAAAACCACUCAGGCCAGUUACAAAAUGUUGUUGAAAUUUACAUUGAUUUUGGGCGCAACUGUUUGGAGUGCACCUGGGAUGUCCAGGAAAGGCUGCGCGUUGCAUUGCGGCAUAAAAUGGCCAAUAAUUGGCCAAUUGAAUUGAGACACCGCAGACGAGGCAUUGCAUUGUGGCAUGUGUAAGUAGGCUGCUUGGUACAACGUCUGCCCACACGGCAAUAAGUAGUGACUAUUGAGGGUAUAUAACUAUAUAGGUAUGGAGCUAUAGAGAGUGCAUGUUCGAUCGCUGGAUCGGCGGAUAGUCGGAUAGUCGGAAAGGCGGAGCCUUAACGAGGUCGGAGCCAUAGCAGCACGUAGCCAUUACCCAUUGCCCAUAUAGUUCGGUGGGGCAUUCAGCAUUACAGUCCAGCAUUACAGCGAAACCUCGAAAACGAGACCGUAGCUAAAUAUCAAGUAUACGGGCCGCUUAUCGGCCUGUUGUUGCGGUAAUUAUAAUGCGCCAUAGUCACGCCAGACACGCUGCAUAAAUAUUUAAAUUAAAUAAUAACAAAUGCUAGAAAUAAAUAAGCCGGGCAACUGUAAAAACAAUACGUAAUGUCUCGAAUGCCAAUUGACUAAUGUUGCUGCGGGGAAUUUGGAAACGAGUUGCUGUGCCGUGUCUGAAUGGCUCCUUUGUUCUUUCCAUCCUCCCGUGUUCGGGUAGAUAUGUUUGUAGCUUCGGGUGGGCCACACCCCACUUCGCAUUUUAUUUUAAUUUCUGUCGAGGGCCCAGCUCGGGUUUCAAAAACCAAUAAUGCGGCUGCCAUCAGCGACAUCAACAACAGUAAAAGCGGCUGAAAACGGCAACAGCAACAGCAACAUCAGCAGCAGCAACAGCAGCAACAAAGACGACGACGACAGCAACAUGGCGCACAACAAGCAAUAAAAAUGGCAUAAAAUUCAAAA